rnacentral:rRNA from 1 species
AAUGGGGAACCUACCCUGGGAGAGAGGGAUACCGGCGCGAAAGCGCCGACAAGCCCGCAUACGCUCGCUUUCUUGGGAAAGAGAGGGAGGAAAGCUUCUUUUCGGAGAGGCGCUCUAGGAUGGGCCUGUGGCCGAUUAGCUAGCUGGUGGGGUAACGGCUCACCAGGGCGACGAUCGGUAGCUGGUCUGAGAGGACGAUCAGCCACACUGGGAUUGAGAACGGCCCAG